rnacentral:rRNA from 1 species
CCUACGGGAGGCAGCAGUAGGGAAUCUUCCGCAAUGGACGAAAGUCUGACGGAGCAACGCCGCGUGAACGAUGAAGGCCUUCGGGUCGUAAAGUUCUGUUGUUAGGGAAGAACAAGUGCUAGUUAAAUAAGCUGGCACCUUGACGGUACCUAACCAGAAAGCCACGGCUAACUACGUGCCAGCAGCCGCGGUAAUACGUAGGUGGCAAGCGUUGUCCGGAAUUAUUGGGCGUAAAGCGCGCGCAGGCGGUUUCUUAAGUCUGAUGUGAAAGCCCCCGGCUCAACCGGGGAGGGUCAUUGGAAACUGGGAAACUUGAGUGCAGAAGAGGAAAGUGGAAUUCCAAGUGUAGCGGUGAAAUGCGUAGAGAUUUGGAGGAACACCAGUGGCGAAGGCGACUUUCUGGUCUGUAACUGACGCUGAGGCGCGAAAGCGUGGGGAGCAAACAGGAUUAGAUACCCUGGUAGUCCACGCUGUAAACGAUGAGUGCUAAGUGUUAGAGGGUUUCCGCCCUUUAGUGCUGAAGUUAACGCAUUAAGCACUCCGCCUGGGGGAGGUACGGUCGCGAGACUAGAACUACAAGAAGUAGUAGGACGUGAGAGACGCGACGACGACGACGACGGGAGGAGGAG